rfam:Chamaesiphon minutus PCC 6605, complete genome.
CUACUGGCGGGGAGUUUUACCGUUGUGUCCCCUUGCUGCAUCUCGAAGGAGAGCGAUGUCACAGAUGCAGACAGUCU